GCCGCCCCCGCCGCCCCCGCGGCCGCUGCCAACCCUGCCCCCGCGGCCGCCCCCGCUGCUGCUCCUGUAGCGUCUUCCAGAAGGUUUGUCAGGGAGACGGCAGCCCUGGACAAGGAGGAUGCGAGCGCCGGCCACAAGAAGCCCCUGGCUGACGUCGCUCGCGAGAAGAGGCCGGCCACCAAGCCGGACAAGGAGCAGGACAAGGACAAGGCCCCCAACAAGAAGGCCUCCAGCGGCGCCGCCUAGCGGGACACAGUCUCUAUUUAUUUCCUAGUUUGUAGUCACGUACUAUUUAUUUGAUCGCCUUCUUUUUGUACGAAAUAAAAAACAAACUUUUUUCUAAUA